rnacentral:rRNA from 1 species
AACGAACGCUGGCGGCAUGCCUAACACAUGCAAGUCGAACGAGACCUUCGGGUCUAGUGGCGCACGGGUGCGUAACGCGUGGGAAUCUGCCCUUGGGUUCGGAAUAACAGUUGGAAACGACUGCCAAUACCGGAUGAUGACGUAAGUCCAAAGAUUUAUCGCCCAAGGAUGAGCCCGCGUAGGAUUAGCUAGUUGGUGAGGUAAAGGCUCACCAAGGCGACGAUCCUUAGAUGGUCUGAGAGGAUGAUCAGCCACACUGGGACUGGGACACGGCCCAGACGCCUGCGAGAGGCAGCAGUGAGUAAUAUUGGGCAGUGGGCGAAAUCCUGAGCCAGCAAUGCCGGGUGGGUGAUGAAGGCCUUGGGGUUGUAAAGCGCUAUGACCCAGGAUGUUAGUGACAGUACCGGGAGAAUAAGCACCGGCUAACUCCGUG